rnacentral:rRNA from 1 species
UGGGGAAUUUUCGCAAUGGGCGCAAGCCUGACGAAGCAACGCCGCGUGGAGGAUGAAGGUCUUCGGAUUGUAAACUCCUGUCGACCGGGACGAAUGCACCCGACCUAAUACGUCGAAGUGUUGACGGUACCGGUGGAGGAAGCCACGGCUAACUCUGUGCCAGCAGCCGCGGUAAUACAGAGGUGGCAAGCGUUGUUCGGAAUUACUGGGCGUAAAGGGCGCGUAGGCGGCCUUAUAAGUCUCGUGUGAAAGCCCUCGGCUUAACUGAGGAUCUGCACGGGAUACUGUAAGGCUCGAGUUCGGGAGAGGAAAGCGGAAUUCCGGGUGUAGCGGUGAAAUGCGUAGAUAUCCGGAGGAACACCAGUGGCGAAGGCGGCUUUCUGGACCGACACUGACGCUCAUGCACGAAAGCGUGGGGAGCAAACAGGAUUAGAUACCCACGUAGUCCCUGAGCGGGCUGGCAAGGCGCAU